rnacentral:rRNA from 1 species
AUUGAACGCUGGAGGCAUGCCUUACACAUGCAAGUCGAACGGUAACGCGGGGGCAACCCUGGCGACGAGUGGCGAACGGGUGAGUAAUACAUCGGAACGUACCUGGUAGUGGGGGAUAGCCCGGCGAAAGCCGGAUUAAUACCGCAUACGCACCACGGUGGAAAGCGGGGGACCGCAAGGCCUCGCGCUAUCAGAGCGGCCGAUGGCAGAUUAGCUAGUUGGUGGGGUAAAAGCCUACCAAGGCGACGAUCUGUAGCUGGUCUGAGAGGACGACCGGCCACACUGGGACUGAGACACGGCCCAGACUCCUACGGGAGGCAGCAGUGGGGAAUUUUGGACAAUGGGGGAAACCCUGAUCCAGCGAUGCCGCGUGUGUGAAGAAGGCCUUCGGGUUGUAAAGCACUUUUGUUCGGGAAGAAAUCUGUCGGGCUAAUACCCUGGCGGGAUGACGGUACCGGAAGAAUAAGCACCGGCUAACUACGUGCCAGCAGCCGCCGUAA